rnacentral:rRNA from 1 species
GUCUAAGGCCAUAGCACCCUGAAUGCGCCCUAUCUCAUCUGAUCUCGGAAGCUAAGCAGGGUCGGGCCUGGUUAGUACUUGGGUGGGAGACCACCUGGGCAUACCGGGUGCUGUAGGCU